UACGGUCAUAUUACGUUUGAACAGUGAUUCCCGUAUGAUCACCAAAGUUAAGCAACAUCGAACCUAGUCAGUACCUAGAUGGGUGACCGCUUGGGAAUACCAGGUGUUGCAAU